rnacentral:antisense_RNA from 19 species
CUUUCUGGUAGAGUGAAAAGGGGAUAUCUUUUGGAUGUGCCAGUUUCUAGAUGUCUGGUCUGCUAACCCUUCUUCACUCUAUCAUUGUC